rnacentral:rRNA from 1 species
GACGAACCGUCCUAACGUUGUUCGGAAUCACUGGGCUUAAAGGGCGCGUAGGCGGGUCAGCAAGUCCGGGGUGAAAUCUUUCGGCUUAACCGGAAAAGUGCCUUGGAUACUGCUGGUCUAGAGGGAGGUAGGGGCAUGUGGAACUUCCGGUGGAGCGGUGAAAUGCGUUGAUAUCGGAAGGAACGCCGGUGGCGAAAGCGACGUGCUGGGUUGCACCUGACGCUGAGAUGCGAAAGUGUGGGGAGCAAACGGG